rnacentral:rRNA from 1 species
CCUACGGGUGGCAGCAGUGGGGAAUAUUGCACAAUGGGGGAAACCCUGAUGCAGCGACGCCGCGUGAGUGAAGAAGUAUUUCGGUAUGGAAAGCUCUAUCAGCAGGGAGGUAAAUGCCGGUACCUGAUUAAGACGCCCCGGCUAACUACGUGCCAGCAGCCGUGGUAAUACGUAGGGGGCAAGCGUUAUCCGGAUUUACUGGGCGUAAAGGGAGCGUAGACGGCAGCAAGAGUCUGGAGGGAAAUGCCUGGGCUUAACCCCGGAACUGCCUUUGAAACUGUGGAGCUAGAUUGGAGGAGAGGUAAGUGGAAUUCCUAGUGGAGCGGUGAAAUGCGUAGAUAUUAGGAAGAACACCAGUGGCGAAGGCGGCUUACUGGACUGUAACUGACGGUGAGGCUCGAAAGCGUGGGGAGCAAACAGGAUUAGAUACCCCUGUAGUC